UACGUAGGGGGCAAGCGUUGUCCGGAAUCAUUGGGCGUAAAGAGCGUGUAGGCGGCCCGGUAAGUCCGCUGUGAAAGUCCAGGGCUCAACCCUGGGAUGCCGGUGGAUACUGUCGGGCUCGAGUCCGGAAGAGGAGUGUGGAAUUCCCGGUGUAGCGGUGAAAUGCGCAGAUAUCGGGAGGAACACCAGUGGCGAAGGCGGCACUCUGGGCCGGUACUGACGCCGAGGAGCGAAAGCGUGGGGAGCGAACAGG
rnacentral:rRNA from 1 species